UCCUGAGUAAAGUGGCGCACGGGUGAGUAACACGUGACUAACCUACCCUUGAGUGGGGAAUAACUUCGGGAAACCGAGGCUAAUACCGCAUAACACCUACGGGUCAAAGGAGCAAUUCGCUUAAGGAGGGGGUCGCGGCAGAUUAGUUAGUUGGCGGGGUAAUGGCCCACCAAGACAGUGAUCUGUAUCCGGCCUGAGAGGGCGCACGGACACACUGGAACUGAAACACGGUCCAGACUCCUACGGGAGGCAGCAGUGGGGAAUUUUGCGCAAUGGGGGAAACCCUGACGCAGCAACGCCGCGUGGAGGAUGAAGUCUCUUGGGACGUAAACUCCUUUCGAUCGGGACGAUAAUGACGGUACCGAGAGAAGAAGCCCCGGCUAACUUCGUGCCAGCAGCCGCGGUAAUACGAGGGGGGCGAGCGUUGUUCGGAAUUAUUGGGCGUAAAGGGUGCGUAGGCGGUUCGGUAAGUCUUGUGUGAAAUCUUCGGGCUCAACUCGAAGUCUGCACGAGAAACUGCCGGGCUUGAGUGUGGGAGAGGUGAGUGGAAUUUCCGGUGUAGCGGUGAAAUGCGUAGAUAUCGGAAGGAACACCUGUGGCGAAAGCGGCUCACUGGACCACAACUGACGCUGAGCA
rnacentral:rRNA from 1 species